rnacentral:rRNA from 1 species
AUUGAACGCUGGCGGCAUGCCUUACACAUGCAAGUCGAACGGUAACGGGCCUUCGGGUGCCGACGAGUGGCGAACGGGUGAGUAAUGUAUCGGAACGUACCUUUCAGUGGGGGAUAACGUAGCGAAAGUUACGCUAAUACCGCAUAUUCUGUGAGCAGGAAAGCAGGGGAUCGCAAGACCUUGCGCUGAUUGAUCGGCCGAUAUCAGAUUAGCUAGUUGGUGAGGUAAAAGCUCACCAAGGCGACGAUCUGUAGCGGGUCUGAGAGGAUGAUCCGCCACACUGGAACUGAGACACGGUCCAGACUCCUGCGGGAGGCAGCAGUGGGGAAUUUUGGACAAUGGGGGCAACCCUGAUCCAGCCAUGCCGCGUGAGUGAAGAAGGCCUUCGGGUUGUAAAGCUCUUUCGGCCGGGAAGAAAUCGUAUCAGCUAAUACCUGGUGCGGAUGACGGUACCGGCAUAAGAAGCACCGGUUAACUACGUGCCAGCAGCCGCGGUAACAC